rnacentral:rRNA from 1 species
UCAUCAUGCAAGUCGAGCGGGACAGAUGGGAGCUUGCUCCCUGAUGUUAGCGGCGGACGGGUGAGUAACACGUGGGUAACCUGCCUGUAAGACUGGGAUAACUCCGGGAAACCGGGGCUAAUACCGGAUGGUUGUUUGAACCGCAUGGUUCAAACAUAAAAGGUGGCUUCGGCUACCACUUACAGAUGGACCCGCGGCGCAUUAGCUAGUUGGUGAGGUAACGGCUCACCAAGGCAACGAUGCGUAGCCGACCUGAGAGGGUGAUCGGCCACACUGGGACUGAGACACGGCCCAAACUCCUACGGGAGGCAGCAGUAGGGAAUCUUCCGCAAUGGACGAAAGUCUGACGGAGCAACGCCGCGUGAGUGAUGAAGGUUUUCGGAUCGUAAAGCUCUGUUGUUAGGGAAGAACAAGUACCGUUCGAAUAGGGCGGUACCUUGACGGUACCUAACCAGAAAGCCACGGCUAACUACGUGCCAGCAGCCGCGGUAAUACGUAGGUGGCAAGCGUUGUCCGGAAUUAUUGGGCGUAAAGGGCUCGCAGGCGGUUUCUUAAGUCUGAUGUGAAAGCCCCCGGCUCAACCGGGGAGGGUCAUUGGAAACUGGGGAACUUGAGUGCAGAAGAGGAGAGUGGAAUUCCACGUGUAGCGGUGAAAUGCGUAGAGAUGUGGAGGAACACCAGUGGCGAAGGCGACUCUCUGGUCUGUAACUGACGCUGAGGAGCGAAAGCGUGGGGAGCGAACAGGAUUAGAUACCCUGGUAGUCCACGCCGUAAACGAUGAGUGCUAAGUGUUAAGGGGUUUCCGCCCCUUAGUGCUGCAGCUAACGCAUUAAGCACUCCGCCUGGGGAGUACGGUCGCAAGACUGAAACUCAAAGGAAUUGACGGGGGCCCGCACAAGCGGUGGAGCAUGUGGUUUAAUUCGAAGCAACGCGAAGAACCUUACCAGGUCUUGACAUCCUCUGACAAUCCUAGAGAUAGGACGUCCCCUUCGGGGGCAGAGUGACAGGUGGUGCAUGGUUGUCGUCAGCUCGUGUCGUGAAAUGUUGGGUUAAGUCCCGCAACGAGCGCAACCCUUGAUCUUAGUUGCCAGCAUUCAGUUGGGCACUCUAAGGUGACUGCCGGUGACAAACCGGAGGAAGGUGGGGAUGACGUCAAAUCAUCAUGCCCCUUAUGACCUGGGCUACACACGUGCUACAAUGGACAGAACAAAGGGCAGCGAAACCGCGAGGUUAAGCCAAUCCCACAAAUCUGUUCUCAGUUCGGAUCGCAGUCUGCAACUCGACUGCGUGAAGCUGGAAUCGCUAGUAAUCGCGGAUCAGCAUGCCGCGGUGAAUACGUUCCCGGGCCUUGUACACACCGCCCGUCACACCACGAGAGUUUGUAACACCCGAAGUCGGUGAGGUAACCUUUUAGGA